UACGGAGUGUGCAAGCGUUACUCGGAAUCACUGGGCAUAAAGGGCGUGUAGGCGGGCUUUCAAGUCGGUUGUGAAAUCCUGGAGCUCAACUCCAGAACUGCCUUUGAUACUGGCGAUCUCGAGUCCGGGAGAGGUGAGUGGAACUGCGAGUGUAGAGGUGAAAUUCGUAGAUAUUCGCAAGAACACCAGUGGCGAAGGCGGCUCACUGGCCCGGUACUGACGCUGAGGUGCGAAAGCGUGGGGAGCAAACAGG
rnacentral:rRNA from 1 species